AAACUUGACAUUUUUUCUAAUCAAAACAAAGAAAUUUGUGAUGCUGCAAAUGCAAGAAACUAAGGUGGAAGAGAAUGGAAGGAAAUCUUGUCCAGGUUGGAAGAAACAUGCUGAUCCAGAGGAGGCAUUUCUCAGAUUGACUCACCAGAAAUAACCGGGAAGAAAUGACAUGAAAAUUGAUUGAAAUCAGGAUUUUACAUUUGAAAAUAAGUAGGCAUAUGAAGACAUGAAGGAGAACUCACAGAGAAUAUGAGAAUUCAUAUUUUUCAUAAACAGUCAAAUCUCAUACAAGAGAUUUCAUACUGGAGAUAAAACUCAACUGUGAAAAGUCCUUCCAAGCAAAGACAAAUUUCUUACAACAUCAGAGACUUUAUACAGG
rnacentral:lncRNA from 1 species